GUUCCGGCAUGCCCAGGCACAUUUGACCAAUUCUAAACGCUAAACGUUACUCCAGCACCCAAGUGUAACCCGUCACGAGGUGAGUCACAAUGAAUCCUAACCAGGACCCCAGUGGGAAAUGUGCCUCCCCUUUAGAUUUCUGAUUUCACUUCAGUUUCCCGGUAGCACUUAUGGUGUCAUUGAUCACCCCUCCCCACCCCCCAUCUCUUUCACAAUUUUGUCUUCCGUGGGUCACGUAUGUUUUGGAGAUGUCUGACUUUCCCAAGAGCUGGUGUUGAAUUUCCACCCAGUGUUUCCAGGACGGCAGCCUGUGUGAAGUGCUAGGGAAAGCCUUUUCAUGCCUUGAAAAAUACACACAAGUAUUUCUCUUCCUGAGCUUCAAGGAGACUCUGCAUUCAAAAGACCACUCCCGGGCACUGCCUUCUACCAACUUCCCCAUCCAGCUCUGAUUGCAUCGGACCACUGUCUUCCCUCCAUGCCUCCAGCCCUGAGGUUGUCAACGGGGUGCUCCAGCCUCCAUGUGCACCCUGUGACUUCUUUCAUCCUAGUCCUUCUGACCCUCGUGGCUUCUCCUGCUCCAAGGCCAAGCUCGGGACCCUGUCAUCAUCCCCGGGGACAGGCCCCAUCUUAGAGAGGAUCCACCCAGCUCCCCGCUCCUGAGCCAUCUUCCAGCUAUCCCGCCUCGAGACUCCCACCGCACCUGCUCCUGGGCUGCAGCUGCACCCAACAAGUGUCAACAUGUGGAUUGCUUCUAGAAUUUGGAUAUUAUGAACACUGCUGUGCUGAACAUUCUUGUACACUUAUAUGGUUUGGCUGUGUCCCCACCCAAAUCUCAUCUUGAAUUGUAGCUCCCAUAAUUCCUAUGUGUCGUGGGAGGGACCCAAUGGGAGGUAAUUGAAUCAUAGGGGCAGGUCUUUCCCCUGCUGUCCUUAUGAUAGUGAAUAAGUCUCAUGAGAUCUGAUGGUUUUAUACAUGGGAGUUCCCCUGCACAAGCCCUCUUGUCUGCCGCCAUGUAAGAUGUGCCUUUGCUUCUCCUCUGCCUUCCACCAUGAUUGUGAGGACUCCC
rnacentral:lncRNA from 1 species